rnacentral:rRNA from 1 species
UGGGGAAUUUUGGACAAUGGGGGAAACCCUGAUCCAGCCAUCCCGCGUGUGCGAUGAAGGCCUUCGGGUUGUAAAGCACUUUUGGCAGGAAAGAAACGUCAUGGGUUAAUACCCCGUGAAACUGACGGUACCUGCAGAAUAAGCACCGGCUAACUACGUGCCAGCAGCCGCGGUAAUACGUAGGGUGCAAGCGUUAAUCGGAAUUACUGGGCGUAAAGCGUGCGCAGGCGGUUCGGAAAGAAAGAUGUGAAAUCCCAGAGCUCAACUUUGGAACUGCAUUUUUAACUACCGGGCUAGAGUGUGUCAGAGGGAGGUGGAACUCCGCGUGUAGCAGUGAAAUGCGUAGAUAUGCGGAGGAACACCGAUGGCGAAGGCAGCCUCCUGGGAUAACACUGACGCUCAUGCACGAAAGCGUGGGGAGCAAACAGG